GAUGAAGAACGUAGCGAAAUGCGAUAAGUAAUGUGAAUUGCAGAAUUCAGUGAAUCAUCGAAUCUUUGAAUGCACAUUGCGCCCCUUGGUAUUCCGAGGGGCAUGCCUGUUCGAGCGUCAUUAUAACCCCUCAAGCUCGGCUUGGUGUUGGGGCCUGCCGCACGGGCAGCCCUUAAAAUCAGUGGCGGUGCCAUCUGGCUCUAAGCGUAGUAAUUCUUCUCGCUAUAGAGUCCCGGUGGAUGCUUGCCAUUAACCCCCAAUUUCAAUGGUUGACCUCGGAUCAGGUAGGGAUACCCGCUGAACUUAAGCAUAUCAAUAAGCGGAGGA
rnacentral:misc_RNA from 1 species